GAGGGAAAGGCGAAAAGAACCCCGGUGAGGGGAGUGAAAUAGAACCUGAAACCGUUCGCUUACAAGCGGUAGGAGGGCUAUGCCAUCGCAAGAUGGAAGGCCUGACUGCGUGCCUUUUGCAUAAUGAGCCGGCGAGUUACUGGUACGUGGCGAGGUUAAGCGCCGAAGGCGCGGAGCCGGAGCGAAAGCGAGUCCGAAUAGGGCGACAAGUCGCGUGCCGUAGACCCGAAGCCAAGUGAUCUACCCCUGGCCAGGGUGAAGCCGCUUUAACAAGCGGUGGAGGCCCGAACCGGUGUUGGUUGAAAACAGCUCGGAUGAGCUGGGGGUCGGAGUGAAAGGCUAAUCAAACUUGGAGAUAGCUGGUUCUCCCCGAAAUAGCUUUAGGGCUAGCCUCGCGCGUGACGUGUGGUGGUAGAGCUCUGAAUGGGCUAGGGGUCCUACCAGAUUACCAAACCCAAUCAAACUCCAAAUGCCAUCCGUUGAAGCGCGGGAGUCAGACGACGCGGGAUAAGCUGCGUGGUCGAGAGGGAAACAACCCAGAUCGUCAGCUAAGGUCCCUAAGUGCGUGCUUAGUGGGAAACGAUGUGGAGUCGCUCAGACAGCCAGGAGGUUGGCUUAGAAGCAGCCAUCCUUUAAAGAGUGCGUAACAGCUCACUGGUCAAGCGAUUCUGCGCGGACAAUUCAACGGGGCUCAAGCACGCCACCGAAGCUGCGAACUCGGUAGGGAGACCUGCCGAGUGGUAGGGGAGCAUUCCGCACUAGGUCGAAGGCCGACCGUGAGGACGGCUGGACGAAGCGGAAGAGAUAAUGCCGGCACGAGUAGCGAUAAAGCAGGUGAAAAACCUGCUCGCCGAAAGCCCAAGGGUUCCUGGGGAAGGUUAAUCCGCCCAGGGUUAGGCGGUACCUAAGCGGAGGCCGACAGGCGUACGCGAAGGACAACAGGUUAAUAUUCCUGUUCCGCCGUGGGGUCGUUACGAGCAAUGGGGGGACGGAGAAGGCUAAGCACCGCCCGCGAUCGGAAGUGCGGGUCCAAGCGCGUAGGGAGCUCCGAUAGGCAAAUCCGUCGGGGCGCCGCAAGGCAAUCCUGAAACGUGAUGGGGAGGCCUUCGGGCCACAAACGGGCUGAUGCCAUGCUUCCAAGAAAAUCCUCUAGCCAGAUCCCAAGGCGACCGUACCGGAAACCGACACAGGUGGGCGAGGAGAAUAUCCACAGGCGCUCGGGAGAACUCUCGCGAAGGAACUAGGCAAAAUAACCCCGUAACUUCGGGAGAAGGGGUGCCCCACUAAGGUGUUGAGCCUGAAGGGGUCGCAGUGAAAAGGGCCAAGCGACUGUUUACUAAAAACACAGGACUCUGCCAACUCGUAAGAGGAGGUAUAGGGUCUGACGCCUGCCCGGUGCCGGAAGGUUAAGGAGAGGGGUCAGCCGCAAGGCGAAGCUCUGAACCGAAGCCCCGGUAAACGGCGGCCGUAACUAUAACGGUCCUAAGGUUAGUGUCACGCUAGCCCCCGUCGUCAGCAAUGACGGCGUGCGCAUCCGGCCAAAUGCUGGGACGUCUGGUGAAUCCGACGGUACUCGACGACGAGUGACAACCCGUUCGGUGCAGACAAUCAGCAGGAAAGAUCGAGCGUCGAUCCCGGCGCGCGAAAUCCUCAGAGGCCAUACGCCGGAUCUCCAGCCUGACGGUUGGAGAAUGAGAUGGUCCGAGCUGCAUGGCGACAUGCAGAGGUGAGCGGAACCGAAACGACUCACCCGUUCCUUCAGAACGUAACAAGACUGAGCGAAAUUCCUUGUCGGGUAAGUUCCGACCUGCACGAAUGGCGUAACGACUUGGCCGCUGUCUCCGCGAGAGACCCGGUGAAACUGUAGCGCCAGUGAAGAUGCUGGCUACCCGCGACUAGACGGAAAGACCCCGUGAACCUUUACUGUACCUUGGCAUGGAACUUUGGCGGAGUCUGCGCAGGAUAGGUGGGAGGCUUUGAAGCCGGCACUCCGGUGUCGGUGGAGCCGUCGUUGAGAUACCACCCUGACUGUGCUGGAGUUCUAACCUUGGCCCGUGAUCCGGGUCGGGGACAGUGCCAGGUGGGCAGUUUGACUGGGGCGGUCGCCUCCUAAAAUGUAACGGAGGCGCUCGAAGGUGGGCUCAGCACGGUUGGAAAUCGUGCGUCGAGUGUAAGAGCAGAAGCCCGCUUGACUGUGAGACCAACAAGUCGAACAGGUACGAAAGUAGGAUCUAGUGAUCCGGUGGUUCCGAGUGGAAGGGCCAUCGCUCAACGGAUAAAAGGUACUCCGGGGAUAACAGGCUGAUCUUGCCCAAGAGUUCAUAUCGACGGCAAGGUUUGGCACCUCGAUGUCGGCUCAUCGCAUCCUGGGGCUGGAGCAGGUCCCAAGGGUUGGGCUGUUCGCCCAUUAAAGCGGUACGUGAGCUGGGUUUAGAACGUCGUGAGACAGUUCGGUCCCUAUCUGUCGCGGGCGGAGGAGAUUUGACGGGAGCUGCCCCUAGUACGAGAGGACCGGGGUGGACGGACCUCUAGUGUGCGAGCUGUGCCGCCAGGCGCAACGCUCGGUAGCUAUGUCCGGCAGAGAUAAGCGCUGAAGGCAUCUAAGCGCGAAACUCGCCUGAAGAUGAGACCUCCCGGGGCGUAAGCCCCCUGAAGGGCCCUGGUAGAUGACCAGGUUGAUAGGCCGGAGGUGUAAGCACCGCAAGGUGUUCAGCUGACCGGUACUAAUCGCCCGUGCGGCUUGACC
rnacentral:rRNA from 1 species